GCCAGGCAUGGUGGCGCAUGCCUGUAAUCCCAGCUACUUGGGAGGCUGUGGUGGGAGAAUCGCUUGAACCCGGGAGGUGGAGAUUGCAGUGAGCCCAGAUUGCGCCACUGCACUCCAGCCUGGGCAACAGAGCGAAACUCCAUCUCAA
ensembl:misc_RNA Metazoa_SRP Metazoan signal recognition particle RNA